rnacentral:sRNA from 1 species
AGUAGAAGAACAAAGACUAAGAACGCCGCGUCCUGCGGCAACGCCUUUGUGACCCCCUUCCAUGGGGG